GUCACGAUAGCUCAGAUGGUUAGAGCAUCGGCGUCUUGAGCCAAAGGUCGUGGGUUCGAAUUCCGCUCGUGACA